AGAUGCCAGGGUGGUCUGGCUGCCAAAUCAGUCACUCCAUUGAUUGCCAGGGUUGAUUGAGUUGAUCUGGUUGGGUAGCAGGUGUCCCCUUCCCCUCUCACCACUCCGUGUGCAUCCCUCCCAAAGUUGCACAUUUCAUGGAAAAGGAUGACCAUCCCAGAUAGGAGCAUAUCGCUCUUUGGUCAAGGGUGAUUUAUUGAUCAUCUUAUAGCUGAUUUGGGGAUUUAAUUAGAUGAGCUCCUUGGAU
rnacentral:snRNA from 1 species